GACGAACGCUGGCGGCGUGCUUAACACAUGCAAGUCGAACGAUGAACCGAGAGCUUGCUCUUGGGGAUUAGUGGCGAACGGGUGAGUAACACGUGAGUAACCUGCCCUGGACUCUGGGAUAACCCCGAGAAAUCGGAGCUAAUACCGGAUAGGACCUUGCACCGCAUGGUGUGGGGUGGAAAGUUUUUUCGGUUUGGGAUGGACUCGCGGCCUAUCAGCUGGUUGGUGAGGUAAUGGCUCACCAAGGCGUCGACGGGUAGCCGGCCUGAGAGGGUGACCGGCCACACUGGGACUGAGACACGGCCCAGACUCCUACGGGAGGCAGCAGUGGGGAAUAUUGCACAAUGGGCGAAAGCCUGAUGCAGCAACGCCGCGUGCGGGAUGACGGCCUUCGGGUUGUAAACCGCUUUUAGUAAGGAAGAAGGGGAGCUUGCUCCUUGACGGUACUUGCAGAAAAAGGACCGGCUAACUACGUGCCAGCCGCCGCCGUAAUAC
rnacentral:rRNA from 1 species